CCCUACGGGGCGCAGCAGUCGCGGAAACUCCGCAAUACACGAAAGUGUGACGGGGCUAUCCCGAGUGCCGUCCGCUGAGGAUGGCUUUUCCCUAGUGUAUAAAGCUGGGGGAAUAAGGAGAGGGCAAGACUGGUGUCAGCCGCCGCGGUAAUACCAGCUCUCCGAGUGGUGGGGACAUUUAUUGGGCCUAAAGCAUUCGUAGCCUGUUGGGCAAGUCCUCCGUUAAAUCCAACGAUUCAAUCGUUGGGCUGCGGGGGAUACUGUCCGGCUAGGGGGCGGGAGAGGCCGACGGUAUUCUCGGGGUAGGGGUGAAAUCCUAUAAUCCCGGGAGGACCACCAGUGGCGAAGGCUGUCGGCUAGAACGCGCUCGACGGUGAGGAAUUGGCGGGGGAGCAC
rnacentral:rRNA from 1 species